UGGGGAAUAUUGGGCAAUGGGGGAAACCCUGACCCAGCGACGCCGCGUGAGGGAAGAAGGUUUUCGGAUUGUAAACCUCUGUUCUUGGUGAAGAGGGAAAGACGGUAGCCAAGGAGGAAGCCCCGGCUAACUACGUGCCAGCAGCCGCGGUAAUACGUAGGGGGCGAGCGUUGUCCGGAAUGAUUGGGCGUAAAGGGCGCGUAGGCGGCUGUUUAAGUCUGGAGUGGAAGUCCUAUUUUUAAGGUAGGAAUUGCUUUGGAAACUGAGCAGCUUGAGUGCAGGAGAGGUCAUCGGAAUUCCCGGUGUAGCGGUGAAAUGCGUAGAGAUCGGGAGGAACACCAGUGGCGAAGGCGGGUGACUGGACUGCAACUGACGCUGAGGCGCGAAAGUGUGGGGAGCAAACAGG
rnacentral:rRNA from 1 species